rnacentral:rRNA from 1 species
UACGUAGGGGGCGAGCGUUGUCCGGAUUCAUUGGGCGUAAAGAGCUCGUAGGCGGCUUGGUAAGUCGGGUGUGAAACCUCCAGGCUCAACCUGGAGACGCCACUCGAUACUGCCAUGGCUAGAGUCCGGUAGGGGCCCACGGAAUUCCUGGUGUAGCGGUGAAAUGCGCAGAUAUCAGGAGGAACACCAGUGGCGAAGGCGACUCGCUGGACAAGUAUUGACGCUGAGGUGCGAAAGCGUGGGGAGCAAACAGG